rnacentral:tRNA from 1 species
UGUAGCUCUAAUUGGCAGAGCGACGGUCUCCAAAACCGUAGGUUGUGAGUUCGAGUCUCACCG